GCCUGGGUGGCUCAGUCGGUUGAGCGUCUGACUUCAGCUCAGGUCAUGAUCUCAUGGUUUGUGAGUUCGAGCCCCACGUCGGGCU
rnacentral:tRNA from 1 species